UACGUAGGGGGCAAGCGUUGUCCGGAUUUAUUGGGCGUAAAGAGCGUGUAGGCGGUCCGGUAAGUCCGCUGUGAAAGUCGGGGGCUCAACCCUUGAAUGCCGGUUGAUACUGUCGGGCUAGAGUCCGGAAGAGGCGAGUGGAAUUCCCGGUGUAGCGGUGAAAUGCGCAGAUAUCGGGAGGAACACCAAUGGCGAAGGCAGCUCGCUGGGACGGUACUGACGCUGAGACGCGAAAGCGUGGGGAGCAAACAGG
rnacentral:rRNA from 1 species